UACGUAGGAGGCGAGCGUUGUCCGGAAUUACUGGGCGUAAAGCGCGCGUAGGCGGCUUUGUAAGUUAGAGGUGAAAGCCCGGGGCUCAACCCCGGAACUGCCUUUAAGACUGCAUCGCUUGAAUCCAGGAGAGGUGAGUGGAAUUCCGAGUGUAGAGGUGAAAUUCGUAGAUAUUCGGAAGAACACCAGUGGCGAAGGCGGCUCACUGGACUGGGUAUUG
rnacentral:rRNA from 1 species